GACGAACGCUGGCGGCGUGCUUAACACAUGCAAGUCGAACGGAAAGGCCCUGCUUUUGUGGGGUGCUCGAGUGGCGAACGGGUGAGUAACACGUGAGUAACCUGCCCUUGACUUUGGGAUAACUUCAGGAAACUGGGGCUAAUACCGGAUAGGAGCUCCUGCUGCAUGGUGGGGGUUGGAAAGUUUCGGCGGUUGGGGAUGGACUCGCGGCUUAUCAGCUUGUUGGUGGGGUAGUGGCUUACCAAGGCUUUGACGGGUAGCCGGCCUGAGAGGGUGACCGGCCACAUUGGGACUGAGAUGCGGCCCAGACUCCUACGGGAGGCAGAAGUGGGGAAUGUUGCACAAUGGGCGGAAGCCUGAUGCAGCAACGCCGCGUGCGGGAUGACGGCCUUCGGGUUGUAAACCGCUUUCGCCUGUGACGAAGCGUGAGUGACGGUAAUGGGUAAAGAAGCACCGGCUAACUACGUG
rnacentral:rRNA from 1 species